CCUUCCAUAGAUUCUGAAUUUCCUGAGGGGAGAGGAAGAGUAGGGGCAAUGGCUGUGGCACCCUGACUCCAGAAGGCUCCCAGGAGGGACCAAGGGGACACAAGACGGGCCCACACACAGUUACACAGGGCAGAGGAGCCUGCAGCUGCACAACCACGAGAGAAAGGGGAGGCUGAAAAAGCUGAUGGCUAAGAAGAUGGGGUGAGGGGUGCCUGAAGAGGACCCUUCUUCUCAUGUCUGGAAAGCAAAGACUAGAUCCUCACCUCAUACAUAAAACUGAUGAGUUAGAGAGGUAAAUAUAUAAAGGAUUAAAAUAAACCUGGAUUUUUCCAUAUUGGUUUUUU